CCCCUGGAGGACUAGUGGUUGGGCCUCGGGGCUCUCACUGCCGCGGCCCGGGUUUGAUUCCCGGUCAGGGAA